rnacentral:lncRNA from 1 species
CGCUCGCAGCCGCCCGCACUCAUGUCGUCAGCGUCCCCUUUCUCACCUACAGCUUCCUAGUCUCUGUCUCCAAUCCCUGCCCACAGUAUGCCCACCUGGGGCCCAUGUUGAAGCUCGCCUAGUCUCAGUCUACUCUUUCCCAUUCCGCCUAUCAUAUUGUCCAGGCCGUCGACAGCCCUCCUCUGCUUGCUGAGCUCCUGAUGAACCACCUGGGAAAAGGCAGGGCAGAAGUGGGAGCUGUCUGUGGUGCUGGAGUGGAUCAGCUCAGAAAUCUUCCUAGGAAAGGAGGGCCCAGGAAGGAUUUACAAGGCAGAUCACACUUGUGCCUCUGUAGUGUUUUCGGUUUCUUCAACAGGACCACCAUGCCUGACAGUGUGAAAACUUCUCCAGCAGCAGGUAGACCCCAGACUGGCUGGAACAAGAAGGUUGAUGCUGCGGCCUCCCCCCUGCCUCAACACCAGCCAGGGCUCCAUAAACACUAAAGACUCCACAUACCCGCUCCAGGCUGGCACUCACGGCUCUGGGGGCACUAGGCCAAUGUGGCCCAUUUUCCUAGCAAAGCAGUAAAGCUCUUCUUUCUAUUUCACCCAAACUUCUUUCUUACAGACUCACUCUGCCUUGGUGUGCAGAGGCUGAAUUUGGGUAACAAAUUUGGAGUCCCGUGUGGGGUUGGCUUAGGGGUAACCCCCUGGGUGUCCCCUUGGCUCCAUCACACUCUCUAGAUUUUUCUCCACGCAGCCUCUUUCCAGAAGGUUGGAACUGCUGGGAAGAUUCCUUCAGAGGCUUGAAUUCUGAGGACCCGUGUCAAGAAGGCUGAGCCCCAGUCAUACUCGGUCCACCAAGCAGGCAGUGGGGACACCAAGGCGGUACAGGAGGGAAGAGGAAGGGCCGCUCCAGAGGGUGGGAAGGCCACCUUCGCCUCAAGGAUGUUCCUGUCUUCUUCCAGCCCAUACCAGCUUGAAUUUUGCUGCUCCAAGGAAUUAUUUUGAGGAAGGAGAAGGACAGCGUCUUGGACAUUGAGACAUCUUGGCCAGCGUCUGGGUGAGUCCCCCGCCAUGUAUCUGAGGCUCCUUCAACAUGUCCAUCUGAGGAACAUUUGUUUCCAUCUGGGGAACAGUGAGUGCUUGUCUGGUUAGCUUUCAUGUUGGAAAUCCACCUGUGAGAUCUAAGGACUAAGGUCAUGGACUUGGCAGGAGUUGGAAACAGCCACUCUGAGCUUUAUGCUUUCUGGUGUCUUCCCCCUCGUAUAAGGUUUCCAUCAGCUAAUGAGUUCUGGUUUGUAUGUGGCUCAUGGGUGUCCGUUCAAAAAUGGGAAGCCCUCCUUUGAUUCCCUCUGAUAACCACCUAGGACACAUUUUGGAAGACUAGUCAAGCUACGGAGAAGGCAAUGGCAACACACUUCAGUACUGUUGCCUGGAAAAUCCAAUGGACGGAGGAGUCUGGUAGGCUGCAGUCCAUGCAGUCACGAAGAUUCAGACAUGACUUAGUGACUUCACUUUCACUUUUCACUUUCAUGCAUUGGAGAAAGAAAUGGCAACCCACUCCAGUGUUCUUGCCAGGAGAAUCCCAGGGAUGGCGGAGCCUGGUGGGCUGCCAUCUAUGGGGUCGCACAGAGUUGGACACGACUGAAGCGACUUAGUAGCAGAAGCAGCAGCAGUCAACCUACACGUUUAAACUAAGGACAAAAUAGUUUAACACUAUGUAGUCACAAUAUUCUUUAGACUUCGGAGAAUAUGGUUGAGAUGAAACUCUUUGCAAAUUUCAGAACUGGUUUUUUUGCAUGUGCAGUUGGAGAGAGAUGGCUUGAUGACACACUUUAGUUUUCUAGAACACUCGCGCUUUAAGAAUAAAGAUAUUCUUAGGAGAAAAGUUGAUGUUAAG